rnacentral:rRNA from 1 species
UGGGGAAUAUUGGGCAAUGGGGGAAACCCUGACCCAGCGACGCCGCGUGAGGGAAGACGGCCUUCGGGUUGUAAACCUCUUUUGUACGGGAAGAAGGAAGUGACGGUACUGUACGAAUAAGUCCCGGCUAACUACGUGCCAGCAGCCGCGGUAAUACGUAGGGCGCGAGCGUUGUCCGGAUUUAUUGGGCGUAAAGAGCUCGUAGGCGGUUUGUCGCGUCUGCUGUGAAAUCCUCUGGCUUAACUGGGGGCGUGCAGUGGGUACGGGCAGACUGGAGUGCGGUAGGGGAGACUGGAAUUCCUGGUGUAGCGGUGGAAUGCGCAGAUAUCAGGAGGAACACCGGUGGCGAAGGCGGGUCUCUGGGCCGUUACUGACGCUGAGGAGCGAAAGCAUGGGGAGCGAACAGG